UACGGGGGGGGCAAGCGUUGUUCGGAAUUACUGGGCGUAAAGGGCUCGUAGGCGGCCAACUAAGUCAGACGUGAAAUCCCCAGGCUCAACCUGGGAACUGCGUCUGAUACUGGAUGGCUUGAAUUCGGGAGAGGGAUGCAGAAUUCCAGGUGUAGCGGUGAAAUGCGUAGAUAUCGGGAAGAACACCCGUGGCGAAGGCGGUUCUCUGGGACGGUACUGACGCUGAGACGCGAAAGCGUGGGGAGCGAACAGG
rnacentral:rRNA from 1 species